UCUCUCAAAAAUAUGAUCAUGGUGAUUCUGCAGCUUAUGUCCUUCAUGGGAUCUGCACAAAAACAUAUUGCUCAAGGAGAAGGAGAGGUUGUUUUGCAUUGAUGUAGGUAAUGAUGAGGAUUGCCCCGUAUGAGGGGAUGAUGGAACUUCAACAACAAGGUAUUAAUUGUCUUUUACAUGUCAUUCUUAGUUACUCAUGCAGCUGAUGGUGAAGGAAUCUCAGUCUAUUGCCAUGAGAAUUUUUUCAAAUCAAUUCAUAUAGGAAACUGUUGAUUGACAAUUGGUUGUCCUAGAAUAGUUUACUUUCAUAGUAAUCUUUUGUUUCCCCUGCUCAAGUUUCUUAUGGCUCUUAUUAUUAAUUGUAAUCUUUUGCUUUUCUCACACUAAAACACGGGACUUUCAAGCUUUUCUUGACGAUAUUGGCUUUUCCAUUGAUGACUUGCGAAACCUGAUUCACUUUCUUCCUUUUGUGUAAGCUUUUACUUCUCAAUACUUUGCUUUGGACUUGGCUCAACUAACCUUUCACUUGAAUAUUAAAUAUGAUUUUUUAUAUAUUUUAGGUACCAGGACAGUACAUUUGUGGUCUCUAUAGGUAGAGGUGAAGAUGCAAUAGAAAGAAACCCAACAUAACUAGGCAUAUGAGUACCAAUUAAACAGAAACUAUGAUGAUAAAAGAGUGAACGUGUGUUUUGUUUGUUGGUGACGCGAUAUAUUGAAGGCUGCAUAUAAUGGAUUUGGCGUAUGCAGCUCAAGACCUAAUGGUUCCGCGACCUUCUGCAAUGACUUUCUAUGAUAUCUUGGCAACUGGGACGCCAUCCAUUUUGACAUCAUCACUAGAUAUUGCUCAAUGCUUCUUUGAUGGCAAACUUAGCUGGUGCAAGAGUUGUAACUAAAGAUGUAUCAGAAAAAGACGAAAGAGUUAUAACUAGAGGGGGAACUUGAUUCAUCAACUCUUGGAAAUGAAAGUGAAGAGAUACACAUCAUUUUCUGCUGAUACACAUCCUUUAUUCCUGAGAAAGAGUUGGAACGAAAGAACUUGAUUCGACAACUCUUGGAGAUGCAAUUGAAGAGAUAUUGGCCAAUGUAGAUAUAUGUUGAUACACACCCUUUAUUCUUGACAAACAAUAUGGAUUCUGAUAUACUGCUAUAAUUUAUAAUUAUCAUAAGACGAACAAAUUUACAAGGCAGAGUAUGUUUGUAAUUAUGCAGCUACCUUUGUCACUUGGUUGAAACACUGCUUCAAUACAGCUAAUAACAAUAUUUUCUGUUGAUACU